AUUGAACGCUGGCGGCAUGCCUUACACAUGCAAGUCGAGCGGUAACGCGGGGCAACCUGGCGACGAGUGGCGAACGGGUGAGUAAAGUAUCGGAACGUGCCCAGUAGUGGGGGAUAGCCCGGCGAAAGCCGGAUUAAUACCGCAUGAGACCUGAGGGUGAAAGCGGGGGAUCGCAAGACCUCGCGCUGUUGGAGCGGCCGAUAUCAGAUUAGGUAGUUGGUGGGGUAAAGGCCUACCAAGCCGACGAUCUGUAGCUGGUCUGAGAGGACGACCAGCCACACUGGGACUGAGACACGGCCCAGACUCCUACGGGAGGCAGCAGUGGGGAAUUUUGGACAAUGGGCGCAAGCCUGAUCCAGCCAUGCCGCGUGCGGGAAGAAGGCCUUCGGGUUGUAAACCGCUUUUGUCAGGGAAGAAAUCUUCUGGGUUAAUACCUCGGGAGGAUGACGGUACCUGAAGAAUAAGCACCGGCUAACUACGUGCCAGCAGCCGCGGUAAUAC
rnacentral:rRNA from 1 species